rnacentral:rRNA from 1 species
UACCAGCACCCCGAGUUGUCGGGACGAUUAUUGGGCCUAAAGCAUCCGUAGCCUGUUCUGCAAGUCUUCCGUUAAAUCCACCUGCUUAACAGAUGGGCUGCGGAAGAUACUAUAGAGCUAGGAGGCGGGAGAGGCAAGCGGUACUCGAUGGGUAGGGGUAAAAUCCGUUGAUCCAUUGAAGACCACCAGUGGCGAAGGCGGCUUGCCAGAACGCGCUCGACGGUGAGGGAUGAAAGCUGGGGGAGCAAACCGG